CAGGCCUAAUACAUGCAAGUCGAACGAGAUUAAGAGGCUUGCUUCUUAUGAAAGUGGCGCACGGGUGCGUAACGCGUAUGCAACCUACCUUAAUCAGGGGGAUAGCCCGAAGAAAUUCGGAUUAAGACCGCAUAAAAACACAGGAUAGCAUUAUCCAAUGUUCAAAUAUUUAUAGGAUUAAGAUGGGCAUGCGUGUCAUUAGCUAGUUGGCGGGGUAACGGCCCACCAAGGCGACGAUGACUAGGGGAUCUGAGAGGAUGACCCCCCACACUGGUACUGAGACACGGACCAGACUCCUACGGGAGGCAGCAGUAAGGAAUAUUGGUCAAUGGAGGGAACUCUGAACCAGCCAUGCCGCGUGCAGGAAGACAGCCCUCUGGGUCGUAAACUGCUUUUAUUCGGGAAUAAACCUACUUACGUGUAAGUAGCUGAAUGUACCGAAGGAAUAAGGAUCGGCUAACUCCGUGCCAGCAGCCGCGGUAAUACGGAGGAUCCAAGCGUUAUCCGGAUUUAUUGGGUUUAAAGGGUGCGUAGGCGGCUUAUUAAGUCAGGGGUGAAAGACGGUGGCUCAACCAUCGCAGUGCCCUUGAUACUGAUGAGCUUGAAUACACUAGAGGUAGGCGGAAUGUGACAAGUAGCGGUGAAAUGCAUAGAUAUGUCACAGAACACCGAUUGCGAAGGCAGCUUACUAUGGUGUUAUUGACGCUGAGGCACGAAAGCGUGGGGAUCAAACAGGAUUAGAUACCCUGGUAGUCCACGCCCUAAACGAUGAAUACUCGCUGUU
rnacentral:rRNA from 1 species